rnacentral:rRNA from 1 species
CUACGGGCUGCUCCAGUGGGGAAUAUUGCACAAUGGGCGCAAGCCUGAUGCAGCCAUGCCGCGUGUAUGAAGAAGGCCUUCGGGUUGUAAAGUACUUUCAGCGGGGAGGAAGGGAGUAAAGUUAAUACCUUUGCUCAUUGACGUUACCCGCAGAAGAAGCACCGGCUAACUCCGUGCCAGCAGCCGCGGUAAUACGGAGGGUGCAAGCGUUAAUCGGAAUUACUGGGCGUAAAGCGCACGCAGGCGGUUUGUUAAGUCAGAUGUGAAAUCCCCGGGCUCAACCUGGGAACUGCAUCUAAUACUGGCAAGCUUGAGUCUCGUAGAGGGGGGUAGAAUUCCAGGUGUAGCGGUGAAAUGCGUAGAGAUCUGGAGGAAUACCGGUGGCGAAGGCGGCCCCCUGGACGAAGACUGACGCUCAGGUGCGAAAGCGUGGGGAGCAAACAGGAUUAGAUACCCGAGUAGUC